GUUGGGUUAAGUCCCGCAACGAGCGCAACCCUCGUCCCAUGUUGCCAGCGGGUUAUGCCGGGGACUCAUGGGAGACUGCCGGGGUCAACUCGGAGGAAGGUGGGGAUGACGUCAAAUCAUCAUGCCCCUUAUGUCUUGGGCUUCACGCAUGCUACAAUGGCCGGUACAAAGGGCUGCGAUACCGUAAGGUGGAGCGAAUCCCAAAAAGCCGGUCUCAGUUCGGAUUGGGGUCUGCAACUCGACCCCAUGAAGUCGGAGUCGCUAGUAAUCGCAGAUCAGCAACGCUGCGGUGAAUACGUUCCCGGGCCUUGUACACACCGCCCGUCAAGUCACGAAAGUCGGUAACACCCGAAGCCCAUGGCCCAACCGUUCGCGGKGGGAGUGGUCGAAGGUGGGACUGGCGAUUGGGACUAAGUCGUAACAAGGUAGCCGUACCGGAAGGUGCGGCUGGAUCACCUCCUUUCUGCGGCC
rnacentral:rRNA from 1 species